rnacentral:rRNA from 1 species
GGGUUGUGAGGUUAAGCGACUAAGCGUACACGGUGGAUGCCCUGGCAGUCAGAGGCGAUGAAGGACGUGCUAAUCUGCGAAAAGCGUCGGUAAGGUGAUAUGAACCGUUAUAACCGGCGAUGUCCGAAUGGGGAAACCCAGUGCAAUUCGUUGCACUAUCGUUAACUGAAUACAUAGGUUAACGAGGCGAACCGGGGGAACUGAAACAUCUAAGUACCCCGAGGAAAAGAAAUCAACCGAGAUUCCCCCAGUAGCGGCGAGCGAACGGGGAGCAGCCCAGAGUCUGAAUCAGCUUGUGUGUUAGUGGAACGGUCUGGAAAGUCCGACGGUACAGGGUGAUAGUCCCGUACACCAAAAUGCACAGGCUGUGAACUCGAAGAGUAGGGCGGGACACGUGGUAUCCUGUCUGAAUAUGGGGGGACCAUCCUCCAAGGCUAAAUACUCCUGACUGACCGAUAGUGAACCAGUACCGUGAGGGAAAGGCGAAAAGAACCCCGGCGAGGGGAGUGAAAAAGAACCUGAAACCGUGUACGUACAAGCAGUGGGAGCACCUUCGGGUGUGACUGCGUACCUUUUGUAUAAUGGGUCAGCGACUUAUAUUCUGUAGCAAGGUUAACCGUAUAGGGGAGCCGCAGGGAAACCGAGUCUUAACUGGGCGUUAAGUUGCAGGGUAUAGACCCGAAACCCGGUGAUCUAGCCAUGGGCAGGUUGAAGGUUGGGUAACACUAACUGGAGGACCGAACCGACUAAUGUUGAAAAAUUAGCGGAUGACUUGUGGCUGGGGGUGAAAGGCCAAUCAAACCGGGAGAUAGCUGGUUCUCCCCGAAAGCUAUUUAGGUAGCGCCUCGUGAACUCAUCUUCGGGGGUAGAGCACUGUUUCGGCUAGGGGGUCAUCCCGACUUACCAACCCGAUGCAAACUACGAAUACCGAAGAAUGUUAUCACGGGAGACACACGGCGGGUGCUAACGUCCGUCGUGAAGAGGGAAACAACCCAGACCGCCAGCUAAGGUCCCAAAGUCAUGGUUAAGUGGGAAACGAUGUGGGAAGGCACAGACAGCCAGGAUGUUGGCUUAGAAGCAGCCAUCAUUUAAAGAAAGCGUAAUAGCUCACUGGUCGAGUCGGCCUGCGCGGAAGAUGUAACGGGGCUAAACCAUGCACCGAAGCUGCGGCAGCGACACUAUGUGUUGUUGGGUAGGGGAGCGUUCUGUAAGCCUGCGAAGGUGUGCUGUGAGGCAUGCUGGAGGUAUCAGAAGUGCGAAUGCUGACAUAAGUAACGAUAAAGCGGGUGAAAAGCCCGCUCGCCGGAAGACCAAGGGUUCCUGUCCAACGUUAAUCGGGGCAGGGUGAGUCGACCCCUAAGGCGAGGCCGAAAGGCGUAGUCGAUGGGAAACAGGUUAAUAUUCCUGUACUUGGUGUUACUGCGAAGGGGGGACGGAGAAGGCUAUGUUAGCCGGGCGACGGUUGUCCCGGUUUAAGCAUGUAGGCUGGUUAUCCAGGCAAAUCCGGAUAACCAAGGCUGAGGUGUGAUGACGAGGCACUACGGUGCUGAAGUAACAAAUGCCCUGCUUCCAGGAAAAGCCUCUAAGCAUCAGGUAACAUCAAAUCGUACCCCAAACCGACACAGGUGGUCAGGUAGAGAAUACCAAGGCGCUUGAGAGAACUCGGGUGAAGGAACUAGGCAAAAUGGUGCCGUAACUUCGGGAGAAGGCACGCUGGUGUGUAGGUGAAGUC